GACGCUCAUGGACGAAAGCCAGGGGAGCGAAAGGGAUUAGAUACCCCUGUAGUCCUGGCCGUAAACGAUGAACACUAGGUGUCGGGGGAAUCGACCCCCCUCGGUGUCGUAGCCAACGCGUUAAGUGUUCCGCCUGGGGAGUACGCACGCAAGUGUGAAACUCAAAGGAAUUGACGGGGGCCCGCACAAGCGGUGGAGUAUGUGGUUUAAUUCGAUGCAACGCGAAGAACCUUACCAGGAUUUGACAUCCUGCGAACCUCUUAGAAAUUUGAGGGUGCCUUCGGGAACGCAGUGACAGGUGGUGCAUGGCUGUCGUCAGCUCGUGUCGUGAGAUGUUGGGUUAAGUCCCGCAACGAGCGCAACCCACGUUUUUAGUUGCCAGCAUUUAGUUGGGCACUCUAGAAAGACCGCCGGUGAUAAACCGGAGGAAGGUGUGGAUGACGUCAAGUCAUCAUGCCCCUUACAUCCUGGGCUACACACGUACUACAAUGCUACGGACAAAGGGCAGCAAACUCGCGAGAGCAAGCAAAUCCCAUAAACCGUGGCUCAGUUCAGAUCGUAGGCUGCAACUCGCCUACGUGAAGUAGGAAUCGCUAGUAAUCGCAGGUCAGCAUACUGCGGUGAAUACGUUCCCGGGCCUUGUACACACCGCCCGUCACACCAUGGAAGUUGGCCAUGCCCGAAGUCGUUACUCCAACCCUUGUGGAGGAGGACGCCGAAGGUGGGGCUAAUGACUGGGGUGAAGUCGUAACAAGGUAACC
rnacentral:rRNA from 1 species